rnacentral:rRNA from 1 species
CAGUCGCCGCGGUAAUACGAAGGGUGCAAGCGUUAAUCGGAAUUACUGGGCGUAAAGCGUGCGUAGGCGGUUUGUUAAGUCUGCUGUGAAAUCCCCGGGCUCAACCUGGGAAUGGCAGUGGAUACUGGCAAGCUAGAGUGUGUCAGAGGAUGGUGGAAUUCCCGGUGUAGCGGUGAAAUGCGUAGAGAUCGGUAGGAACAUCAGUGGCGAAGGCGGCCAUCUGGGACAACACUGACGCUGAGGCACGAAAGCGUGGGGAGCAAACAGGAUUAGAUACCCGCGUAGUCCCUGUCUCUUAUAC